rnacentral:rRNA from 1 species
GAUGAACGCUGGCGGCGUGCCUAAUACAUGCAAGUCGAGCGAACAGACGAGGAUCUUGCUCCUCUGACGUUAGCGGCGGACGGGUGAGUAACACGUGGAUAACCUACCUAUAAGACUGGGAUAACUUCGGGAAACCGGAGCUAAUACCGGAUAAUAUAUUGAACCGCAUGGUUCAAUAGUGAAAGACGGUUUUGCUGUCACUUAUAGAUGGAUCCGCGCCGCAUUAGCUAGUUGGUAAGGUAACGGCUUACCAAGGCAACGAUGCGUAGCCGACCUGAGAGGGUGAUCGGCCACACUGGAACUGAGACACGGUCCAGACUCCUACGGGAGGCAGCAGUAGGGAAUCUUCCGCAAUGGGCGAAAGCGUGACGGAGCAACGCCGCGUGAGUGAUGAAGGUCUUCGGAUCGUAAAACUCUGUUAUUAGGGAAGAACAAAUGUGUAAGUAACUAUGCACGUCUUGACGGUACCUAAUCAGAAAGCCACGGCUAACUACGUG